AUGCCGGUCACCGUUCCCCUGAGGUCAGGCUACACAGAUGAAAGACUCUUCCUGGCUGUUCUGAGUACAGUGCAUCCUGGGAAAAGAGAAGAAGACAUGGGAUCUGAGGAACUUCCAGUUCCAUUCCUUCAUUCGGUUUCUUCUGCUUCCUGCUUCCUCUGCUGCAACACUGUGGGCAAAAAGCUGAGAAAAUGACUACAUGCGGAUCAGAUUCACAUCGAUGAUCAAAAGAUGGAGUUGACUGCUUCCAUCUAAACCACUUCCUGGAUCGACAUUUCAUUUGAUAAUGUUAGGCAGGUUUGAUUUAUAAGUUGUUUAAUGCUUAAUGAUGGCAUUAUUCUACAUAUGCAUUUGCUUACAUACUUUCAGCCAUAGCUGGUUUCUGCUUCUUCUUCACCUGGUUUUAAUCCAGAGAUUCAGUACUCUUUCAGAAGAUGUGUAAUAGCGCCUCCUACCAUAUAACAGUGUGCUUUUUCUACCCACUCACUAUUAGUGUAUUGUUAAAGUCACAGUGAAACUGAAAUAGUGUCUGAAAUCUUUUCUUCUAUAUUGUGACGUACAUAUGAGUGUAAUGGAUUAUCAAAAAUGACUAAAUGUAGGGCAGGACUCGGCUCUCUGAUAUCCCCCUUGAAUCAGACUCCUUCUCCUGAAUAUUGUUGUUUCAUUAAACUGUUAUGAGAACAUUAAUGAUGUCUGCUAUGUUUGGUUCUGUUCUGUUUCUGUUUAUUGCUGCAGUGAGAACCAUGCUGCCAAUACAAACCGUGUGCUAACUGUCAGUCAUCUUUGUCGAUAGUGGUCCUGACAGAAAUACCAAUUCAAAACAGCAAGAUAGAAAAAUGUGUUAGAAUAUAUUACUAAAUAUUCAAGGUUAAUAACAUAAACUUUGGCAGCCCUAAAGAACAUUUUUAGUCUUUCUUUUCUCUCAAACCUUCCCCAGAUCCUUGUUUGAAAACCCUUGGGUUUUAUAAACCUCACAUAAGAAGAUGGACUGAUGGAGAAGAAUACAGAACCUGUGAUGAGACUGACACGACGAGAGUCGGAGAGACUCACAGGUGACGGCGAGGACAGCGAGGUUAGACUCCUCUCUGGAGGGAUACUGAACAGAAAUUGCAGCGUUUCAUGGCGUUGUUUAUGACAGCUUUGAAUAAAUUUGUAUGAGUCACACUGUUGAAGUGUUUC
ensembl:lncRNA